AUAAAUAUUUCUAUACAAAUACUACAUGUAAUAGUUAAGUGGUUUAGCAUUCAAUGACAGUAUAUACGCGAGGAACUUAACAGAGCUACUAUGUGUUACUCAUUUUAACAAGUAUUUAUCUUGACUAGCAUUCAAUCAAACCAGUCUGAGAUAUUCCUAGAACAAACAAUGAAACUAAUUUCCUACAGAUAUAGGACUCUAACAUUUAAUAAAGGUGGAUGUAGAACCUUAAGCAGUUUCACUACCAUUUUCCCUUCAACAGACUGUUACACCCUACUAAUAAAAUGCAUGUGAAAGCCUCU
rnacentral:lncRNA from 1 species